UUACUCUUUGGAGACCAAAGCAUACUAUGGUUACCACUAAAGACAUUUGGAACUGUAGAAAUUGGAUUGUGCCUAAUUUUUAUAACCCAAAACAAUCUUUACGUGUACCAUCAGUGGUGCUCUUAUUUUCCUCUCUUUCCUAAAUUUUUUGUGAAAAUCUUAGAUGCUUUUCAGGUUCCCAUAAUAGGCCACCGUCUCUUUUUGUCUUUCUUUGUCAGGGUUCGCCACAUCCCGCAUGCAGUUCAAGCCCAUCUGGACAACCCUUCUAGAUGCCUGAAUUCAUAUAUGGAAGCCUGUCAAAUGCCUUCUACUCAAGACUAGCUUCCAUUUAGCCACUCUACCACAAAGGCCUGAUUAAAGGAGUGCUGCAGCGACAGCAAGAUGACAGCAUCCAAGCAGCUCAGAAUAAUGUCAACUAGCAACACCACAAAGGCACACCAACCAAGGUAUGGUACCCCUGAACUAACAUAAACACAAUAGUCUAGGACUCAAAUGAUGUGGCAGCUAGAGUCAGAAGAGAAAAUGACAAAAUUCACUCCAUGUAGGCUGGGCACAGUUUACGAAACAGAUCUAACUAGCAUAUGACUUAAAGAAAACCAAAAUAAAAAAGCAUUCAAUUAUUUUCACUGGAUGUAAUAAGUCAGUAGGCCCCAAUCAUGACAAUGCAAAGCCCUUUUCCAAAUCAUAAUGCAGCUACAACUCUUAUUACACAUUGUAAACACAAAUAAUCAGGUUUCACACACAAGUUUAAAUGCAACAACAUCAGUCUCACAUGGUCGCAUACUAUCAUUCCAUAGACAGCAAGCUGCAAAAAAAGAACUAUGAUAUCAGCUGAUGAUAAUUUUGAACCUACUGUUGAAAGUUCAUUUUCUAAGAGGCAUCUGUUAACAAAUAAAUCAACAAAAUUGUUGAGAAUUCCUGUUAGUCAACUAAAAUAAACAGUGCUACAUUGGACUAUGUA